AUACGUAGGGUGCGAGCGUUGUCCGGAAUUACUGGGCGUAAAGAGCUCGUAGGUGGUUUGUCGCGUCGUCUGUGAAAUUCCGGGGCUUAACUCCGGGCGUGCAGGCGAUACGGGCAUAACUUGAGUACUGUAGGGGAGACUGGAAUUCCUGGUGUAGCGGUGAAAUGCGCAGAUAUCAGGAGGAACACCGGUGGCGAAGGCGGGUCUCUGGGCAGUAACUGACGCUGAGGAGCGAAAGCAUGGGGAGCGAACAGGAUUAGAUCCCCUGGUAGUCCAUGCCGUAAACGGUGGGCGCUAGGUGUAGGGGUCUUCCACGACUUCUGUGCCGUAGCUAACGCAUUAAGCGCCCCGCCUGGGGAGUACGGCCGCAAGGCUAAAACUCAAAUGAAUUGACGGGG
rnacentral:rRNA from 1 species